rnacentral:pre_miRNA from 1 species
GAAUUGGGAUCUAAGAUUAUAGGAUAUGCCUGGCUCCCUGUAUGCCAUCGAAAACCCUUCCAAUUACUUACUGGAUUGGUAGUUGUUGUUGGCGUACACGGAAUCAAGCAUACCUCUUUCUUUUAAACCAUUUUC